GUGUCAGCAGCCGCGGUAAGACGAACCGUGCGAACGUUGUUCGGAAUCACUGGGCUUAAAGGGCGCGUAGGCGGUUGACCAAGUCUGGGGUGAAAUCUUUCGGCUUAACCGGAAAAGUGCCUUGGAGACUGGUCAGCUGGAGGGAGGUAGGGGUAGCUGGAACUUCCGGUGGAGCGGUGAAAUGCGUUGAUAUCGGAAGGAACGCCGGUGGCGAAAGCGAGCUGCUGGACCUUUUCUGACGCUGAUGCGCGAAAGCUAGGGGAGCAAACGGGAUUAGAUACCCCCGUAGUCC
rnacentral:rRNA from 1 species